rnacentral:tRNA from 1 species
CAGGGAGACAACAAAAUGUUUAAUAUUAUUAUUUUGUCACCUUAGGUCGAUCGGUACCUCACGUUUUUAAUUUAUUAAGAAUUUCAUUUCCUAAGUUUUUCUAGGUCACACCCAUUAUUUUUCCUGGGCCAUUAGCUCAGGUGGUUAGAGCGCACCCCUGAUAAGGGUGAGGUCCCUGGUUCAAGUCCAGGAUGGCCCAUAUCUCUAUGUUGGGGGUAUAGCUCAGUUGGUAGAGCGCCUGCUUUGCAAGCAGGAUGUCAGCGGUUCGAGUCCGCUUACCUCCACUGAUCACCACCUCUUCCAUAAUCGGUAGAAAGGAAAUUUUUUGAGUUGUGAUCAAAUUCUGAAAGAAUCUAGCUUCCUAAUGAAAUCAUUAAGAUGCUGGACUCAAUGAAUUAAUUUCAUUGUUUUCAGAGAACCUUGACAACUGCAUAGAUUAUUUUUAAAGACAAUAAGCAUCUUUAAUGAUGCAGAUUUAUUAUUUGUGCAAAUGCAUUAAUAACAAUUCUAUUAAGCUGAUGCUUCAAUAUUUGAAGUUAUU